rnacentral:lncRNA from 1 species
AGAUGAUAAUGGAAGCACUUAUGGCGCUGAACGAGAAGAGCGGGUCGAGUCCGUACGCCAUAGCAAAGCACAUGGAGGAGAAGCACAAGGCGGUGCUCCCGGCGAACUUCAGGAAGACUCUGGCACUGCAGCUGAAGAACUCGGCGGCGAGAGGAAAGUUGAUCAAGAUCAGAGCCUCGUACAAGCUCUCCGAGGCGGGCAAGAAGGAGAAAUCGACAGCCAAAACAAGCGCCGUUUCGAAACCAAAAGCGGAGAAGAAGACCAAAACGACCUCCUCUGCUAAGAAGCCCGGGAAAAAGAAC